UACGGAGGGGUUAGCGUUGUUCGGAAUUACUGGGCGUAAAGCGCGCGUAGGCGGAUUGGAAAGUUGGGGUGGAAAUCCCGGGGCGUCAACCCCGGAACCUGCCUCCAAAACUUCCAGUCUGGAGUUCGAGAGAGGUGAGUGGAAUUCCGAGUGUAGAGGUGAAAUUCGUAGAUAUUCGGAGGAACACCAGUGGCGAAGGCGGCUCACUGGCUCGAUACUGACGCUGAGGUGCGAAAGUGUGGGGAGCAAACAGG
rnacentral:rRNA from 1 species